rnacentral:rRNA from 1 species
UACGUAGGUGACCAGCGUUGUCCGGAUUUACUGGGCGUAAAGAGCGCGCAGGCGGUCGUUCAAGUCGAGUGUGAAAGCCCCCGGCUCAACUGGGGAGGGUCAUUCGAUACUGAUCGACUCGAAGGCAGGAGAGGGAAGCGGAAUUCCCGGUGUAGUGGUGAAAUGCGUAGAUAUCGGGAGGAACACCAGUGGCGAAGGCGGCUUCCUGGACCGAGAUUGACGCUGAGGCGCGAAAGCUAGGGGAGCAAACGGGG